rnacentral:tRNA from 1 species
CGGGGCGUAGCUUAGCCUGGUAGAGCGCCUGCUUUGGGAGCAGGAGGUCGCCGGUUCGAAUCCGGCCGCCCCGA